rnacentral:rRNA from 1 species
CAGGGCGUCAUAGAGGGUGAGAAUCCCGUAUGUGGCCGGCGGUCAAUUCCAUGUGAAACCCCUUCGACGAGUCGAGUUGUUUGGGAAUGCAGCUCAAAAUGGGUGGUAAAUUUCAUCUAAAGCUAAAUACCGGCCAGAGACCGAUAGCGCACAAGUAGAGUGAUCGAAAGAUGAAAAGCACUUUGGAAAGAGAGUUAAAAAGUACGUGAAAUUGUUGAAAGGGAAGCGCUUGCAAUCAGACUUGCUCGCGGAUGAUCAGCCUCCCGUUCGCGGGGGGUGCACUCGCCCGCGAUCAGGCCAGCAUCGGUUUCGACGGGCGGAUAAAGGCCCCAGGAAUGUAGCUCCCCUCGGGGAGUGUUAUAGCCUGGGGUGCCAUGCGCCCCGUUGGGACCGAGGACCGCGCUUCGGCUAGGAUGCUGGCGUAAUGGUUGUAAGCGACCCGUCUUGAAACACGGACCAAGGAGUCUAACAUCUAUGCGAGUGUUUGGGUGUUAAACCCAUGCGCGGAAUGAAAGUGAACGGAGGUGGGAACCCCCUUCCAGGGGCGCACCAUCGACCGAUCCAGAUGUCUUCGGAUGGAUUUGAGUAGGAGCAUAGCUGUUGGGACCCGAAAGAUGGUGAACUAUGCCUGGAUAGGGUGAAGCCAGAGGAAACUCUGGUGGAGGCUCGCAGCGGUUCUGACGUGCAAAUCGAUCGUCAAAUCUGGGUAUAGGGGCGAAAGACUAAUCGAACCAUCUAGUAAAUCGCUACUAGAAACACUGAUGGAAAAGAGGCUGUAAAUGCCU